GUCAAAGAUAAAUAUGAAACUGAUCUCUAUUCUUAUUGAAGAGUGAGGGUAGGGGAAGAAGAUGAGCCAUUUGAAUGGGCAGUAGUGUGACAUUACGACAUCUAGAGCCUAGUGAAUAGAGACAGUGAAGCAGCAGUGAAAAGCUGUGCUCAAGUCGAAGCACAAAAUCAUGUACAUGAGCUUUAUUUCUUUUUGGUACUUUUUUCAAACAAGUAUGGGUCUCAAAGUUAUAACCUAUGAUACAUUUGAAGGAAUAUUAGAGGGUAAAUGGAACUGCUUUGUCUCCUAAUUAUGCAGUGAUCAUCCAUGGCUCUUUGGAGAUCAGUAGACAUUGUGUGCCUUCUGAUGGAAAUAUACCCACUGCUGAAGUAGACCCUUAAAAAGAAAAAGAAAAAUCUUACAUGUGGACUUUUGUUGCAAAUUGCCAUUAUAUUUGCUUUUCUGAAUAUUUUUUAAAAGGAAAAAGAAGGAGGAGGAAAAGAGAAAGAAAGAAAAGAAAGUAAACAAAAAGAAAAAAGCAACUGAAUGUGAUCUUUUUUUUUUUUUCUUAGUUUGCAAGAAAUCCAGAAGCACAGGGCAAAGAAACAUGUUAAAGAUGGAUGCAGUCAGCAAAUUCCAGACUGUUGGUAAACCUGCAAGACAAAUGACCCAAUUUCUUUUCCAAGAAAAAAAAAAAGCAAAAAGAUAAAAAAGAAAUAGAGAAACUUAUAUAUUCCAAGAGAUACAGAAAUCAAUUUUAUGGUUUGGAUCUUACUUGGAUCCUGACACAAUUUUUUAAAAAGUUGUGAGAGAAGGAAAUUGUAGAUACUGAUAAGAUCUUUAAAGACAUUAAAAAAUUAUUGUUGAUUUUUAACUAAGUGUGAUAUGCUAUAUGCAGAGAUAUUUUUGGAGGAAAUGUCUGAAAUUUACUUCCAAAUAAUCCAGGCAAAGGCCAGAGGGAUCUGUGUGAAACAAGAUUGACCAUACACUCUGAUUUGUUGAUGCUUGUGACAAGCACAUAAGAGUUCAUUAUGAUAAUCUCUGUUCUUCUGUACUAGUUAAGGUUUAUAUGUGAGGUGUCCCCUAAAAGCUCACGUGUGAGACAAUGCAAGAAGGUUCAGAGAGAAAUGAUUGGGUUUUAAGAGUCUUAACCCAUCAGUGAUUUAAUCCCCUGAUGAGGAUUAACUGAGUGGUAACUGAAGUGGUAGGGUGUGGCUGGAGGAGGUGGAAAUUGGGGCAUGGCUUUGGGUAUAUAUUUGUUAUCUGGAGAGUGGAAUCUCUGCUUUCUGAUCACAAUGUGAGCUGCUUCCCUCUGCCACUCUCCCACCAUGAUGUUCAGCUUCACCUCAAGCCACGAAGAAUGGAGCCUGCCUUCUAUGGACUAAGACCUCUGAAACCAUGAGCCCUCAAAUAAACUUUUCCUCCUCUACAA
rnacentral:lncRNA from 1 species